AGCGUCUGGAAAGGCGCGCGAUACAGGGUGACAGCCCCGUACACAAAAGCGCAUGUGCUGUGAGCUCGAUGAGUAGGGCGGGACACGUGGUAUCCUGUCUGAAUAUGGGGGGACCAUCCUCCAAGGCUAAAUACUCCUGACUGACCGAUAGUGAACCAGUACCGUGAGGGAAAGGCGAAAAGAACCCCGGCGAGGGGAGUGAAAAAGAACCUGAAACCGUGUACGUACAAGCAGUGGGAGCCCCACCACUAAGCCAGUGGUGAACUCCACAUCCGCAUCCUUUGCUGAGGAUACGGUUAACGGAGCGAAAGCGACGUUCAACCGCAAAACAAGCAGAGGGGGCUUAGUGGUGGGGUGACUGCGUACCUUUUGUAUAAUGGGUCAGCGACUUAUAUUCUGUAGCAAGGUUAACCGWAUAGGGGAGCCGGAGGGAAACCGAGUCUUAAYYGGGCGUUAAGUUGCAGGGUAUAGACCCGAAACCCGGUGAUCUAGCCAUGGGCAGGUUGAAGGUUGGGUAACACUAACUGGAGGACCGAACCGACUAAUGUUGAAAAAUUAGCGGAUGACCUGUGGCUGGGGGUGAAAGGCCAAUCAAACCGGGAG
rnacentral:rRNA from 1 species